CGCGGGUGCACCGCCGACCGACC
rnacentral:sRNA from 1 species